AUGUCCUCCUUGUCCAAUUGCUUAGCAACGCAGUACAAGGUGGGUGGGCUGGAUGCGUGGGGGAUCUCGCCAUCCACCAAACCGAACGUGUACGUGCGGUGGGCCAUGUCCGUCCCCGUCAAGCUCGGCGAUGCCCUCUUCUUCCUCUACCCGCCCAGCCAGGACAGCGCCGUCCAGGUCACUGCCAAGGCCUUCGCCGCUUGCGACAUCUCUGGCCCGCUUCUCAAGCUAGAGGACGGCAACUCCGUCUUCAACCUCACCAAGCCCGGGCGGGCCUACUUCACCAGCGCUGCCCCAGGCCGCUGCCGCAAGGGCCAGAAACUGUCGCUCGACGUGCCCGGAGCCGACGAGAAGAUGCUCAAGCCCUCCACGGACGACUCUAGCGGCUCUGCCAAAUCCGCGAGGAUGACGAGCUGUGCCGGCUCGGCCUCCUCGCCUACUGGCUCGCCUUUCUUCGUCGCCCCGCGGAUGCAGUCCAAGGGCGGCGAGCUGCCUACUGCCGGAGCGCGUGUUCGCGCUCCUCUCCUGCCCGCUCCCUGGCGCCGUCGCCUCCGGGCGGAUGGUCGACGAAGGCGCUGCCGCACUACGACGGAAUCAUGGCGGCCGUCGCUGCUUCUGGUGGCGACUCCACUGGGUUGCAGGCGAAGCACGGCGAUGAGCACAAGAUGGCCGUGGGCGCGGGCGCGCACCUGCUCCGGGGGCGCAACGAGUGGAGAUUUUUCCGCACCCAGGCCAAAAAAUUUGCCGGCAGCCCCCCAAGCGGCGAAAAAAUGCCUCCUUAGGAGCGCAACACGACUGGAGAUGCUCUUACGCUGUGGUGUUCCAGGUGGCGUGAGUUGUGAAAUUAUUCCACAUUGUUUUAAAUGA
rnacentral:rRNA from 1 species